AGGAUGACUUGCUUGCCAUGAUUGGGGCAGCAGUGAGAAGAAAGAAGAAACAACAUGGAGGCAUGCUGAACCUGUCAAAGACGAAGAAUCGGCCAAUGAUUCUUAUUGGAGGAUAACAGUGGCCCUGAACUUAAUGGCUGUAGUGAUGUCGUGAAGGCACAAAGUCGGAAGUUGUUAAACCUUCAGAAACAAGAUUUUCAAAAGUACUUCUUCUCAGAUACCAAUAUUUCGCCCCUGUUUGUGUCGGAUACAUAGAUGUCUCAGUUGUUGUCACAUAAUUUGAGUGUAGUGACUGAAUCUAGAAAACAGUUUCUUUUGCUUCCCUGUUCCCCAAGCAUUAUGUGCAAUGCAGGACUCCUAACAAGACAAACACACAGAGCGCAGCCCUCUGUCUUCUCUUGCCAUUUCUGCAGUUUGGGAGCACAGUCCGGAAGUCUGACUCAUGUUGACCGGACCGGCAGGGCGAAAAUGGUCAACGUGGGUUCGAAGCUGGUGACAGAACGAACUGCUACAGCAUGAGCAAAGGUUUUUGUGGGACCCGAACUGAUGAAACUCGUACGAGAAAAUGGCCUGAAGAAAGGUGACGUACUUAGCAUUGCUCGCCUGGCGGUAAUUGUGGGGUCCAAGCAGACGUCCAGCCUUAUCCCUCUGUGUCAUAACAUAACUUUAUCCUCUGUGGCUGUGGACAUUGAACUGGACUCUGCUCUCAACUGUGUGAUUAUAACUGGCACGGCAAAGUGUAGAGGGCAGACGGGCGUGGAGAUGGAAGCUCUCACUGCUGUAUCGGUGUCUGCCUUAACAGUGUAUGAUAUGUGCAAAGCUGUGAGUCAUGACAUUGUGAUAUCUGAAAUAAUGCUUCUGGCCAAAAGUGGGGGAACUAGAGGAGACUUCCACCUGACAUGAGCAUCUGUGUGGGUUGUAAUAUUUGACAUUGCAGCUUUUGAAAAUGGAGCAGGAUGUUGUGCCCU